GUCAUUUCUGCAGGCUGGUAUCCUAAAAACUAAGGAUUUACUGUAUGAUUCUAUAUAUUCACAGGGAAAAAAAAACUAAUUUCAGAAUUUGAAUGGAUAAAGUCUGGCAGGGACACUGGAAAUCUCUGGUUCCUAGUCCAAAUAUUGAAUUUGCUUUAAAAUCAACUUCUAGUCAAAUAAUUGAUUUCUGCUUCAGUAUCGUUAGUGAUUAUAAUUAAGUCAGUAGCAAAAGAGGAAAGGGUAUGAUCUCCCCUUGGGAAGAUGAAAAGCGGCUUAGUAUGUAGGAGUCUGAAUAUACAAUCUUUGGAAUCAGUUAAUGAGUUCAAAACCUAGCUCCAGCACUUAAUACCUUUGUGGCUUUGGGAAAGGUCAGUUUUCUCAUCUAUAAGAUGGGACAAAUAAAUCCCCCUAGAGAGCUGUUGGAAGGAUUACAAAGUACACAUGUAAGGUAUAGAGCAAAAUGUUUGAUAUAGAGUAGGUACUGGGGGGAAACAUCUUUUUCCCAUUUUGAUCCUCUGGCAGCAGAAGACUAAACUGGGCCUCAGCAGGGGAAGGCAAUCCUUGGACAAUUGAGAGCAAGCAAGAAUGCAUUUCCCAAGAUAUUAAUCUUUCUUCCUUUUGAGAGGUUCAUGGUACUGUUUGGCCUAGGGCUUUCUGACUGAGCUUGCUGUAAACACACCCAGAAUAUAAACACACACACACAUACACACGCACCCCACCGCCACAACUACCACACCAGUUAAGUCGAUUAUGCUACAUUUGCCUACAGAUGCCCACAUAAAAUGCAUCCUAGUUUCCUGUGGUUGGCAGUCAUGGCUGCCCCCAGCAUGCUGGCCCUGAUUAAUGUGCGGGAUAUGUGGGUUUGGGGCAUUAACAUAUACCCAAGCCUUCAGUGAAAGGCCAGACUGCUCACGUAAACAGUCCUUGCUCAUUCUGUUUCUGUUUCCCACGACAUAAAAUAAACUGGCUGUCACAUAUGUAUUGUAAGUAAACCGAGAAGUUUCUGAAGUACAUAUAUGGCAAACCAGCUCAUAAAUAGAUGGCUGAGGAGCUUUUGUUUCUGAAGUAAACUGUGCGUAGACAAUGACCUUACAGUGGAAGAGACACCAUUUGCACCUAGCAUUGGUUGGCUUUAUUUUUUAUAACUACCUUACGAAGCCAUAAUUUACAUACUAUAUAAUCCAUGCACUUAAGGUGUUCAAUUCAAAAAUUUUUAGUAUAUUCACCGAGUUUUGUAGCCAUCACCACAACCAAUUUUAGAACAUUUUUAUCACCUUGAAAGCUCAAAACCAUUAGGACUUAUUCCCCCUCAUCCCUCACACAGUCCUUGAGAAUCACCAGUCAAUCUGCUUUCAGGCUCUAGGUGUGCCAGUUCUGGACAUUUCAAAAUCAAAUGGGAAUAUACGAUACAUGACUUUUUGUGCCUGGCUUCUUCCACUUAGCGUAAUGUCUUCCAGGUUCAUCCAUGCCGUGGCAUGGAUCAGUAUCUCAUUCUUUCUAUGGCUGAAUAACCUGCCCUGAUAGGGGUGUGCCGCCUUGUAUUUACCCAUUCAUCAGUUUAUGGACAUUUGGAUUGUCUCUCUGUUUUUCUACAUUUUGAAUCAUGUCGCUGCGGAACAUUCAUAUACAAGUUUGCAUGUGGACACAUAUUUCAUUUCUCUUGGGUGUAUAUCUACAAGAAGAAUUGCCGAGUCAAAUGAUAAUUCUACAUUUAAUUUUUCAAGGAACUGUCACACUAUUUUCCAAAGUGGCUAAUCCUGGAGGAAUCAGAUACAGGAAUGAUACUCUAUAGUUCUUUUGUUAAAAAAAACUUUUCUGCUAGCGCAAUGAACGUCCUAAGGAAUUUGGAACUUUAAUCUUGAGACUGGAAUUUGUGAGCUAACCAUAAAUCACUUAACCAAAACAAGACAAAAUGCUAUUCAACAAAACGUUGAAGGAAGCAGUAAGAUUAAUAACUAAAGAAAACAAAUGACUUCAAUACCAUAACUUUAAAAAAAAAACUAUGAAAAUAGAACUGUAAGUCAUCUGUCCAUUGGUCAAAGGUGUUAGCACUGCCUCUUGCAUCAAAGAUUAAGACCCUAGCCCGAUAACCUGUCAAGCAGAGUCUACUGAAGUGAUGUUUAAGUGAGUGGGGGGGGGUGGGAGGAAUGGGAUGAUCAAUAGCAAAAAUAACAACCAACUUCUCAGGAUACUCUCUGGCAAGCUUUGUUGUAAACAGAGAGGAAAGCAUAGCCUAAGUUUCACCUGCAAUACCUGUUAUCCUUGCCACAACUCUGCAAGAUUUUUUUUUUUACGUGUUGCUCUUGGCAGAGGUAUGCUUAUUUGUUACUGAGAGGGGCAACAAAAAUCCUUCUGUAUUUGCCUCUUGCUGAGGUUAGCAGCCACUGGGAGUUCCUUGAGCAUAAAAUUCCAGGUAGGUACUAUAGACCCACCCUUACCCAGAGCUGAUUGGCCCAGGGGCAGUGAAUGACCCAACAGUCACCCAACUGGUAGGGGCCUAUGAGGAGGUGUGCUGAGAUGGUUUUCCCAGCAGGUAUGCCACAGCCCAAACUGAGCUAAUGGCAUUCUCUUUGUU
rnacentral:lncRNA from 1 species